rnacentral:rRNA from 1 species
CCUACGGGAGGCAGCAGUGAGGAAUAUUGGUCAAUGGGCGGAAGCCUGAACCAGCCAAGUCGCGUGAGGGAUUAAGGCCCUGCGGGUCGUAAACCUCUUUUGCCGGGGAGCAGUGGUCCGGACGCGUCCGGACCGGGAGAGUACCCGGAGAAAAAGCAUCGGCUAACUCCGUGCCAGCAGCCGCGGUAAUACGGAGGAUGCGAGCGUUAUCCGGAUUUAUUGGGUUUAAAGGGUGCGUAGGCGGACGCUUAAGUCAGCGGUAAAAUUGCGGGGCUCAACCUCGUCGAGCCGUUGAAACUGGGUGCCUUGAGUGGGCGAGAAGUACGCGGAAUGCGUGGUGUAGCGGUGAAAUGCAUAGAUAUCACGCAGAACUCCGAUUGCGAAGGCAGCGUACCGGCGCCCAACUGACGCUGAAGCACGAAGGCGUGGGUAUCGAACAGGAUUAGAUACCCUUGUAGUC